GACGAACGCUGGCGGCGUGCUUAACACAUGCAAGUCGAACGGUGACGAGGAGCUUGCUCCUCUGAUCAGUGGCGAACGGGUGAGUAACACGUGAGUAACCUGCCCCAGACUCUGGAAUAACAGUUGGAAACAGCUGCUAAUACCGGAUACGAGACGGAGCCGCAUGGCUACCGUCUGGAAAGUUUUUCGGUCUGGGAUGGACUCGCGGCCUAUCAGCUUGUUGGUGAGGUAAUGGCUCACCAAGGCGACGACGGGUAGCCGGCCUGAGAGGGCGACCGGCCACACUGGGACUGAGACACGGCCCAGACUCCUACGGGAGGCAGCAGUGGGGAAUAUUGCACAAUGGGCGAAAGCCUGAUGCAGCGACGCCGCGUGAGGGAUGACGGCCUUCGGGUUGUAAACCUCUUUCAGCAGGGAAGAAGCGCAAGUGACGGUACCUGCAGAAGAAGCACCGGCUAACUACGUG
rnacentral:rRNA from 1 species